GAUGAACGCUGGCGGCGUGCCUAAUACAUGCAAGUCGAGCGAACAGACGAGAGUGCUUGCACUCUCUGACGUUAGCGGCGGACGGGUGAGUAACACGUGGGUAACCUACCUAUAAGACUGGGAUAACUUCGGGAAACCGGAGCUAAUACCGGAUAAUAUUUAGCUUCGCAUGAAGCAAUAGUGAAAGACGGUUCUGCUGUCACUUAUAGAUGGACCCGCGGUGUAUUAGCUAGUUGGUGAGGUAACGGCUCACCAAGGCAACGAUACAUAGCCGACCUGAGAGGGUGAUCGGCCACACUGGGACUGAGACACGGCCCAGACUCCUACGGGAGGCAGCAGUAGGGAAUCUUCCGCAAUGGACGAAAGUCUGACGGAGCAAGGCCGCGUGAGUGAAGAAGGUUUUCGGAUCGUAAAACUCUGUUGUAAGGGAAGAACAAGUACGUUAGUAACUGAACGUACCUUGACGGUACCUUACCAGAAAGCCACGGCUAACUACGUG
rnacentral:rRNA from 1 species